AGCAUCUGGUUUCACUUCACAACGCGUAAAUCUUUCGCCUUUUACUAAAGAUUUCCGAUGGUGUCAUCCUCAAACAGAAUGACUUACGCAAAUAUCGUCAACGUCAACAAAGGGUUUG